CCUACGGGAGGCAGCAGUGGGGAAUAUUGCACAAUGGGGGAAACCCUGAUGCAGCGACGCCGCGGGAGUGAAGAAGUAUUUCGGUAUGUAAAGCUCUAUCAGCAGGGCAGAAAAUGACGGUACCUGAUUAAGAAGCCCCGGCUAACUACGGGCCAGCAGCCGCGGUAAUACGUAGGGGGCAAGCGUUAUCCGGAUUUACUGGGUGUAAAGGGAGCGUAGACGGCAGCACAAGUCUGGAGUGAAAUGCCUGGGCUUAACCCCGGAACUGCUUUGGAAACUGUGCAGCUAGAGUGCAGGAGAGGUAAGUGGAAUUCCAAGUGUAGCGGUGAAAUGCGUAGAUAUUAGGAGGAACACCAGUGGCGAAGGCGGCUUACUGGACUGUAACUGACGUUGAGGCUCGAAAGCGUGGGGAGCAAACAGGAUUAGAUACCCGAGUAGUC
rnacentral:rRNA from 1 species